rnacentral:rRNA from 1 species
UACGGGGGGAGCAAGCGUUGUCCGGAUUUACUGGGCGUAAAGCGCGUGUAGGCGGGACUUUAAGUCGGUGGUGAAAUCUUUCGGCUCAACCGGAAACCUGCCAUCGAUACUAUUGUCCUUGAGUACGGAAGAGGGAAGUGGAAUUCCAGGUGUAGCGGUGAAAUGCGUAGAUAUCUGGAAGAACACCAGUAGCGAAGGCGGCUUCCUGGUCCGUUACUGACGCUGAGACGCGAAAGCGUGGGGAGCAAACAGGAUUAGAUACCCGCGUA